rnacentral:tRNA from 3 species
GCCGUAGUGGCGGAAUGGCAGACGCGCUAGGUUCAGGUCCUAGUGGGGGUUUCCUCGUGGAAGUUCGAGUCUUCUCUACGGUACCA